AAGGUUGAUUAAAAUUUAAUGGUUUUAAUUUAUAUAAAUAUUAAUUAAAUUAUUAAUUUUGUAGUAAGUUUUAUAGAAAAGAGAAUAUAUUUUUAGUUGUAGUACAGAAAUGGAAAAUUGAAAUAACUGAAAAUGAAAUUUUGAAAUAGUAGUAUUUAAAUGGCGUACCUUUUGUAUUAGGGUUUUAUUAUUUAAAAUAAAUAUUUAUUUUUCCCGAAAUAUAAGGGAUUUAUUGCAAUAAAUUUAUUAACGUGGUAUAGUUAUUAGAAAUAUUGAAAUUGUAAUGAAAAAUUAAACGUCCUAUAUUAUAUCUGGUUAUUCAAGAAAUGAAUUUAAUUCUUUUUUGUUUGUAACUUUAUUACAAAUUUUUGUAAAUAGCUUCACAGCAUCAGCAAAUGGUUGAGGGAUAAUCUUCAAUCAAUAAUUUAAAUUUUAAAUUGAUUAAAGUUAAUUUAGGAUUAGAAACUUCCAUAAUAAAGAUAGCGUUUUAGUUAAUAUUUAGUUGUUACAAAAUUUAAUUUAAUUUUAAAUAAUUAUUGAAUUAUUAAUAAUAAAAAUUUAUAUUAAUUAAUAAUGUAAAAAUUAGUAUAUUUUAUUAUUUAAAAAAUUUAAUGCUUAAAAAUUUUUUAAAAGGAAUUCGGCAAAAUUUUUCUUUGCCUGUUUAACAAAAACAUGGCCUUUUGCUUUUAUAUAAGAUCUGACCUGCCCACUGAAGCUUAAAGGGCCGCGGUAUUUUGACCGUGCAAAGGUAGCAUAAUAAUUUGUCUUUUAAUUGGAGGCUGGAAUGAAAGGUUUGACAUAAGAAAGACUGUCUCUUGAUUAAAAAUUUAAAAUUUAACUUUUGAGUGAAAAGGCUUAAACAUAAAAUGAUUCCAUAGGACAAAAAGACCCUAUAGAUCUUAACAUAAAUUUUAAAUUUUAAAUUUAGUAGUUUUAGUUUAAAAUUUAAUUAUAUGUUUUGUUGGGGCGACACAAAGAGAUUAUAAUCUCUUUGAAUUUUAGUUAUAAAUAUAAUUAUAACUUUUGAUUGAUCCAAAAUUUUUGAUUAAUAGACAAAGUUACCUUAGGGAUAACAGCGUAAUCCUUUUUGAGAGUUCAUAUCGACAAAAGGGAUUGCGACCUCGAUGUUGGAUUAAGAUUCCUUUGAUUUGGUGUAGCCGCUAAAUAAAGGAGGUCUGUUCGACCUUUAAAUUCUUACAUGAUCUGAGUUCAAACCGGCGUAAGCCAGGUUGGUUUAUAUCCUUGGAUAAAAUUCUUAUUUUUUUAGUACGAAAGGACCAAAUUAUAAAAAUAUUUUUAGCAAAAAUGAUUUCCAUUAAUU
rnacentral:rRNA from 1 species